AGGGCGCAUGGCGGAUGCCUUGGCUCUCGGAGGCGAUGAAGGACGUGAUAAGCUGCGAUAAGCUUUGGGGAGGUGCAAAUGACCUUUGAUCCAGAGAUUUCCGAAUGGGACAACCCAAUAUCUUGAAGAGGUAUUAUCCAACGUUGUUGGAGGCUAACGCAGGGAACUGAAACAUCUUAGUACCUGCAGGAAAAGAAAAUAAACAAUGAUUCCCCCAGUAGUGGCGAGCGAACGGGGAACAGCCCAAACCAUCCAUGUUACGGCAUGGGUGGGGUUGUAGGACUACGCCGUUGCAUGAAGACAUCAGAGAAGAACUUUCUGGAAAGAAAGACCAUAGAGCAUGACAGUUGCGUAUUCGAAUGUUGUCGAAGCAUAGUAGUAUCCUGAGUAGCGCGGAGCACGAGGAAUUCUGCGUGAAUCUGCCGGGACCAUCCGGUAAGGCUAAAUACUCCCGAGAGACCGAUAGCGAACCAGUACCGUGAGGGAAAGGUGAAAAGCACUUCGAACAGAAGAGUGAAAUAGUUCCUGAAACCGUGCGCCUACAAGCGGUCGGAGCUCGUUAAUGAGUGACGGCGUGCCUUUUGCAUAAUGAACCUACGAGUUGCCUUUGCCGGCAAGGUUAAGUGUGACGACACACGUAUCCGAAGCGAAAGCGAGUCUGAACAGGGCGUAUAGUCGGCAGUGGCAGACGCGAAACCAAGUGAUCUACCCUUGGCCAGGUUGAAGGCUGGGUAACACCAGCUGGAGGACCGCACCAAUAAGCGUUGAAAAGCUUCUGGAUGAGCUGAGGGUAGGGGUGAAAGGCUAAUCAAACUUGGAGAUAGCUCGUACUCCCCGAAAUGCAUUUAGGUGCAGCCUUGCGGGUUACUGAUGUGAGGUAGAGCGACUGAUAAGAUGCGAGGGCUUCACCGCCUAUCAAGUCUUGACAAACUCCGAAUGCGCAUCAGUUCUACCGCAGGAGUGAGGGCAUGGGUGCUAAGGUCCGUGCCCGAGAGGAGAAGAAUCCGGACCACCUGCUAAGGUCCCGAAAUGACAGCUAAGUUAAACUAACGAAGUCUGACUGCUAAGACAGCUAGGAUGUUGGCUUGGAAGCAGCCAUUCAUUUAAAGAGUGCGUAACAGCUCACUAGUCGAGGAGUCGGGCGUGGAUAAUAAUCGGGUAUGAAGUUGUCUACCGAAGCAGUGGGAUCAUUUAUAUGAUCGGUAGGGGAGCAUUCCAGUCGGCGUCGAAGGCGUACCGUGAGGUAUUCUGGAGCGUCUGGAAAAGCAAAUGUAGGUAUAAGUAACGAUAAAGGGGGCGGGAAACCCCCUCGCCGAAAGACUAAGGUUUCCUGAUCAACGCUAAUCGGAUCAGGGUCAGUCGGGUCCUAAGGCUCAGCCGAACGGCGAUGCCGAUGGCAGAAACGGUUAAUAUUCCGUUACUACCUUCAGGAGUGACGUGGAGACGCAGUAGUGACAGUGCCGCCAUCUGACGGAAUAGAUGGUUGAAGGGUGUAGGAGUCGAUCAUGGCAGGCAAAUCCACCAUGAGAUCCGAACCUGAUAGUAUGCCGCGUCCUUCGGGACAAGGCAAUAGUGCGCGUAAGCAUGCUGCCGAGAAAAUCCGCUAAACUUAAUCCUGCAGGUACCCGUACCGCAAACGGACACACGUAGUCGGGAUGAAUAUUCUAAGGCGCUUGAGUGAUUCACGGUUAAGGAACUAGGCAAACUGACCCUGUAACUUCGGGAUAAAGGGUCCCUACCCUUUUAUGGGAGGGCGCAGAGAAUCGGUCCAGGCAACUGUUUAACAAAAACACAGGGCUGUGCCAAAUCGAAAGAUCCAGUAUACAGCCUGACACCUGCCCGGUGCUGGAAGGUUAAGAGGAGAUGUCAUCAAUAAGAGAAGCGUUGAAUUGAAGCCCCAGUAAACGGCGGCCGUAACUAUAACGGUCCUAAGGUAGCGAAAUUCCUUGUCGGGUAAGUUCCGACCUGCACGAAUGGUGUAAUGAUCUGGACGCUGUCUCAACCGUGAGCUCAGUGAAAUUGUAGUAUCGGUGAAGAUGCCGAUUACCCGCGAUGGGACGAAAAGACCCCGUGAACCUUUACUAUAGCUUAUCAUUGAAUCUGGGCACGUGAUGUGUAGGAUAGGUCGGAGGCUUUGAAGCAGGUACGCCAGUAUUUGUGGAGCCGCUGUUGAAAUACGACCCUUUAUUUGUUUGGAUUCUAACCCGUGGA
rnacentral:rRNA from 1 species